UACAGAGGUCUCAACCGUUGUUCGGAUUCAUUGGGCGUAAAGGGUGCGUAGGCGGUCGCGUAAGUCAGGUGUGAAAUCUCAGGGCUCAACCCUGAAACUGCACUUGAUACUGCGUGGCUCGGGUACUGGAGAGGAGACUGGAAUUUACGGUGUAGCAGUGAAAUGCGUAGAUAUCGUAAGGAAGACCAGUGGCGAAGGCGAGUCUCUGGACAGUUACCGACACUGAGGCACGAAGGUCAGGGGAGCAAACAGG
rnacentral:rRNA from 1 species